GAUGAACGCUGGCGGCGUGCCUAAUACAUGCAAGUCGAGCGAACGGACGAGAAGCUUGCUUCUCUGAUGUUAGCAGCGGACGGGUGAGUAACACGUGGAUAACCUACCUAUAAGACUGGGAUAACUUCGGGAAACCGGAGCUAAUACCGGAUAAUAUUUUGAACCGCAUGGUUCAAAAGUGAAAGACGGUCUUGCUGUCACUUAUAGAUGGAUCCGCGCUGCAUUAGCUAGUUGGUAAGGUAACGGCUUACCAAGGCAACGAUGCAUAGCCGACCUGAGAGGGUGAUCGGCCACACUGGAACUGAGACACGGUCCAGACUCCUACGGGAGGCAGCAGUAGGGAAUCUUCCGCAAUGGGCGAAAGCCUGACGGAGCAACGCCGCGUGAGUGAUGAAGGUCUUCGGAUCGUAAAACUCUGUUAUUAGGGAAGAACAUAUGUGUAAGUAACUGUGCACAUCGUGACGGUACCUAAUCAGAAAGCCACGGCUAACUACGUG
rnacentral:rRNA from 1 species